AAACUUUCAACAACGGAUCUCUUGGCUCUGGCAUCGAUGAAGAACGCAGCGAAAUGCGAUAAGUAAUGUGAAUUGCAGAAUCCAGUGAAUCAUCGAAUCUUUGAACGCACAUCGCGCCCGCCAGCAUUCUGGCGGGCAUGCCUGUUCGAGCGUCAUU
rnacentral:rRNA from 1 species